rnacentral:rRNA from 1 species
CCUACGGGUGGCAGCAGUGGGGGAUAUUGGACAAUGGGGGCAACCCUGAUCCAGCGACGCCGCGUGAGUGAAGAAGUAUUUCGGUGUGUAAAGCUCUAUCAGCAGGGAAGAAAGAAAUGACGGUACCUGAGUAAGAAGCCUAGGCUAUCUACGUGCCAGCAGCAGCGGUAAUACGUAGGGGGCAAGCGUUAUCCGGAAUUACUGGGUGUAAGGGGAGCGUAGACGGUAAUGCAAGUCUGGAGUGAAAGGCGGGGGCUCAACCCCCGGACUGCUCUGGAAACUGUGUAACUGGAGUGCAGGAGAGGCAGGCGGAAUUCCUAGUGUAGCGGUGAAAUGCGUAGAUAUUAGGAGGAACACCAGUGGCGAAGGCGGCCUGCUGGACUGUAACUGACGUUGAGGCUCGAAAGCGUGGGGAGCAAACAGGAUUAGAUACCCGGGUAGUC